rnacentral:lncRNA from 13 species
CCCGGGUGCCUGCCCCCCGCGAGCCUCAGCGUCCUCCACCGCAAACCCGGAGGCUCUCCGCAGCUAAGGAGCCUAGCGCCGCUGAGGUUCAGACUCGCAAAGCCCACUACGGCAGCCGCGGAGGCACCCGGGAGGCCCCCAAGGUUACCGCCAGGCCCGGAUAGGAACUUCCGGCGCAGCUGACAACGGCGCUCGAGCGCUUCCGCCGGCUCCGCCCCCGCGCCCUCCUACCAGGCGCCACCGCAGCGAGCUGGGUCCUGCCAAUUCCAGGCUCCGCGUUGGGGCCCUGCAGGUGAAAGUCAGGUACAGAAUCUUCUCCCAUCCCACCGUGCCCUUCUCCCAGUGCCAAAUCAUCCAACCUGGGGACUGGGUUGUUGGAAGUAGUACCAUUCACCAAAGCUGGAAGGAAGGCGCCGCCACCUGUGAGGAAGAGGAUUCUUAUCAGUCACCAGUCUGCCAGCUCCUUGAUUCUGAACUUCCUAGCCUCCAGGACUAUUGCUUGUUUUGAAGGAAGCCAGUGUUGCAAGGAUAUUGAAGCAGCCCCACAGAGAAGCCCAGAUGAAGAGAACUGACCUGCCAGCCAUAGUUUUUCUGUCUUCAUUGCCUCAAGCCUUCAUCAUCUCUCAUCUAGG